CGUACACUCCUGCGGGAGGCAGCAGUGGGGAAUUUUGGACAAUGGGCGAAAGCCUGAUCCAGCCAUGCCGCGUGCAGGAUGAAGGCCUUCGGGUUGUAAACUGCUUUUGUACGGAACGAAACGGCCUUUUCUAAUAAAGAGGGCUAAUGACGGUACCGUAAGAAUAAGCACCGGCUAACUACGUGCCAGCAGCCGCGGUAAUACGUAGGGUGCAAGCGUUAAUCGGAAUUACUGGGCGUAAAGCGUGCGCAGGCGGUUAUGUAAGACAGUUGUGAAAUCCCCGGGCUCAACCUGGGAACUGCAUCUGUGACUGCAUAGCUAGAGUACGGUAGAGGGGGAUGGAAUUCCGCGUGUAGCAGUGAAAUGCGUAGAUAUGCGGAGGAACACCGAUGGCGAAGGCAAUCCCCUGGACCUGUACUGACGCUCAUGCACGAAAGCGUGGGGAGCAAACAGGAUUAGAAACCCCAGUAGUCC
rnacentral:rRNA from 1 species